rfam:Fusarium oxysporum f. sp. lycopersici 4287 chromosome 2, whole genome shotgun sequence.
UCCUCUUCAACGUCGCGCUUCCAUGCUACAAAGGGAUAUUUUGCCCCCUACAAAGUCUCGUAAGCUUUUCUGCUCGUAGAAAAGACUGAAAUUCAUGUGAGAAAUUCGGAGCAUCUUUCCAAACGCUGCCAGUCUUUUGAGAAUGGUAGCAUACAGCAGUCGCUCGCUUUACGAAGGGAGUGGACGUGUCUACCCCUGAGGGUUCAGCGCCAAUCGGUGCUCGCAAUAUAGGUAGGUAUCAGAAAUGACAGGGUCUGGCGAGUUGGUUCGCCCUUCCUAUUAGAUUCCUAUGGGAAGACGGUACGGAGAUUGUGGGAGACUACGGUUGAAUACUGGAGUGCGAUGUGCGACGUGGUUACGGCCAUAGCUCAAUUCCGAUCAUUCUCUGGAGGA